GCCUACGGGACGCAGCAGUGAGGAAUAUUGGUCAAUGGGCGCGAGCCUGAACCAGCCAAGUAGCGUGAAGGAUGACUGCCCUACGGGUUGUAAACUUCUUUUAUAAAGGAAUAAAGUGAGGCACGUGUGCCUUUUUGUAUGUACUUUAUGAAUAAGGAUCGGCUAACUCCGUGCCAGCAGCCGCGGUAAUACGGAGGAUCCGAGCGUUAUCCGGAUUUAUUGGGCGUAAAGCGAGCGCAGGCGGUUGCUUAGGUCUGAUGU
rnacentral:rRNA from 1 species